CCUACGGGCGGCAGCAGUGAGGAAUAUUGGUCAAUGGACGAGAGUCUGAACCAGCCAAGUAGCGUGAAGGAUGACUGCCCUAUGGGUUGUAAACUUCUUUUAUAUGGGAAUAAAAUGUUCCACGUGUGGGAUUUUGUAUGUACCAUAUGAAUAAGGAUCGGCUAACUCCGUGCCAGCAGCCGCGGUAAUACGGAGGAUCCGAGCGUUAUCCGGAUUUAUUGGGUUUAAAGGGAGCGUAGGUGGAUUGUUAAGUCAGUUGUGAAAGUUUGCGGCUCAACCGUAAAAUUGCAGUUGAAACUGGCAGUCUUGAGUACAGUAGAGGUGGGCGGAAUGCGUGGUGUAGCGGUGAAAUGCUUAGAUAGCACGAAGAACUCCGAUUGCGAAGGCAGUUCACUGGACUGCAACUGACACUGAGGCUCGAAAGUGUGGGUAUCAAACAGGAUUAGAGACCCCUGUAGUC
rnacentral:rRNA from 1 species